rnacentral:rRNA from 1 species
UAGUACGGCGAGUGAAGCGGGAAGAGCUCAAAUUUGAAAUCUGGUGGCCUCAGGUCAUCCGAGUUGUAAUCUAUAGAAGUGUUUUCCGUGCUGGCUCAUGUACAAGUCCCUUGGAACAGGGCGUCAUAGAGGGUGAGAAUCCCGUCCUUGACAUGAACUACCAGUGCUCUGUGAUACAUUUUCAACGAGUCGAGUUGUUUGGGAAUGCAGCUCAAAAUGGGUGGUAAAUUCCAUCUAAAGCUAAAUAUUGGCGAGAGACCGAUAGCGAACAAGUACCGUGAGGGAAAGAUGAAAAGCACUUUGGAAAGAGAGUUAAACAGUAUGUGAAAUUGUUGAAAGGGAAACGAUUGAAGUCAGUCGUGCUCUUUGGAUUCAGCCGGUUCUGCCGGUGUACUUCCUUUGAGUGGGGUCAACAUCAGUUUUGAUCGCUGGAUAAAGGCUGGAGGAACGUAGUACCCUCGGGUAAACUUAUAGCCUCCUGUCACAUACAGUGGUUGGGACUGAGGAACGCAGCACGCCUUUAUGGCCGGGAUUCGUCCACGUACGUGCUUAGGAUGUUGACAUAAUGGCUUUAAACGACCCGUCUUGAACCACGGACCA